rnacentral:rRNA from 1 species
UACGUAGGGUGCGAGCGUUGUCCGGAAUUAUUGGGCGUAAAGAGCUCGUAGGCGGCUUGUCGCGUCGGAUGUGAAAGCCCGGGGCUUAACUCCGGGUCUGCAUUCGAUACGGGCAGGCUAGAGUUCGGUAGGGGAGAUCGGAAUUCCUGGUGUAGCGGUGAAAUGCGCAGAUAUCAGGAGGAACACCGGUGGCGAAGGCGGAUCUCUGGGCCGAUACUGACGCUGAGGAGCAAAAGCGUGGGGAGCGAACAGG